rnacentral:rRNA from 1 species
AUGCAUUCUUGCUGUGACAUCAAUGCCGAGCAUGUUGCGCCAAAUUCCCCACUGCCAUGCAACAUGGGUGUGCCUCCCAAUGUUGAACCAUGUAGAGCUUCCGUUGAUGCUCAUGAGAGGAAGGAGCGGUUGAGGCUCCCCAAAGGUGUAGUUGAUUCCUCAAAUGUCACCAGCAAUUCUCAUGUUCCAGAUGCAUGUGCUGGAGUCUGUGUGCAAGUUGGCACAUCACUGGAUGUCUCUGCUAGUCUUAAUGUAACUGCAAACGUGGGUUCGGUGAGUGGAGGCGGCCCUGUAGUAUAUUCUAGCCAAGGGAAGCACAUGGUAGUUGUUGCAAAGAUUAAGCAUGGACUUCGUGGCACCCAUCCCGCCAGUGGCAUAGCCAGUAAGAUUGUUAAUCCAUCUUCGCGUCGGAGUCCAUGCAUUGCCAGUGGUCCAGUGGUUGAUCGUUUAUAUCCUAGUGUUAAGCUUGAUGGAAAGCAUGUUUCUUUCAAGGGUUCAGAGGCUGGAGGUGGUUGUCGAGGUCCUUCUGUUGAUGGCAUUGGGCUCGACGGGAAUAAUGUUGUUUCUAGGAAGCGUCGGCCCGAGGUUGCUGGGAGUGGACCAAAGAAGAAGCCGGCAAAGUCCGCGGCGUCAAAUGUUGGUGCUUGCGAUAGGAUUAAUGUAACUGUUCGCUGUUCUUUGGGAGAGGUUUCUGAGGCAGUUGCUCUGCUUGAGACACGACAUAAAGAUAUUGUUCGUAAGGCUGGUUUUGGCAGUGUAUUUAACUGGGUUAUGAAGGGCAAUGUGUCGUGCCUUCUGAUGUGUCACUUGAUGAAGAAUAUUGACAUGGCCACGAUGCGCAUUGACUGUGGCCCUAAUAAAGUUCUUGUAGUCAGCAGAGAAACCAUGCAUUAG